UGAAUUGUUUAAAGAUCUAUGAAGCCAUAGACCUCUGGUAUUAAAUCCUGAUAUAGUUGAAUAGCAUGAAGUUUAGUAUAUAAAAUAUCCAAGCUUUUUUGAAUUUUUAAAACCCUUGGUAUACCCUCAUCUUUGAUUUCUGUAGAACAGACAGAAAAUACGAAUUCAGCACUUGCUGGAACUUGCCCAUCAGUUUUUGCAAAGGCUUUUAGAGUAAUUUUAUAUUCACACAGCAUUAUUUGAUUUAUUUCCACCAGACUGCUUCGAGGCAUUUUUUAAGCUAUCUUUUUAAAAUGAAAUAUAUAAACAAGCAGUGUUGCUUUAAGUUACCUGGCAUCUGUUAUCACAUGGUUCAUUCUCCCUCAUGGAGAGUUGGUGAAUACAUAUCACCAAUUAAUUACAAGGCAGUGUUCUGCUUGUUUUAGUUGACAGCUGAAAAGCGGUUAACCCUCAAUAUAAAUUCUGGUACACCAAGGGUUUGAGAUCUCUUGUUAGUCAGAAAAUAUCUGCAAAGGUGCUAAAUGGGCACUGGGUGUUAGAUUCCACAUUUUCUUAUUCAACCUUGCUAUAUAUUCUAGAAUUUCUCUAAAAUAAUAAACUCUUCUCUCUUAUUUGUGUGUGUGAUUUUUAUAGUGGAGAAGGCAAAUGCAAAAGCCCUUCCAGAUGACUGAAACAGUGGGGUCCUCUGCAGCUACAGGGGAUUCUAGACAUUAACUAAAGGCCAGCAAGCACUCAAGUCCCCAAGUGUUUUAUCCCGGUGUAAAUCACUCACUUGUUAACAACAUUUUUCUCUCUUCUUUUUCUUACAUUUUUAGGGUGUUACAGUAAUUUGAAAAACAAUGAGCAGGUUGGAAAUAUAACUAAAACUCUGUCAAGAAGACUGCUCUUCUAAUGAGUUCUGUUGAACCUCUGUAGAUUUCACCACAACUCUUUCAAAGGCACUGUUCACAGAUAAACUAGUGCUCAUUUUAGAUCACGGGACUACAGUAAAUUACUUCACUUAAUUCUGCACUUCUGCAUACAGAGAUUACUACAUCUCUUUAAAAGCAGUGAGAUUUACGCAGACUAACUGUGCUGGAUUGUAGUCUAUGUUUUAUAUGUAGUGCCUCAUUCUACUCCUUAAUAAGGCAGAAUAAUAUGCAACAGGCAGGUCUAAUUAAUUAAUGUUAGGAUAUUCAAAACUAAAACUAUAAUUAAUACCAACAAAGUUUUGUCCUCCUUGGUUUAACUUGGCUGAAUAGAAUACUUUAAAGUACUAUUUCUAUGUAACUAUGUAAUUCUGACAAUGUCAGAUAUAUCUAUGUCUGAGUCUUACAUAAUUGCUGUCUAUAUUAGGGCCAAGCUAGAUGCGACAGUAGCUGCGUUUUUAAAUAUGGAUUGGUCCCAAUUUCUUAGAAAGAGAAAGGGUGGGGUGCUACUUUUCAGAGCAAAAGGUGAAGUGUAUAGCCGCCUUCCUGUGCCUGCAAUUUAACCUCCUUGCAGUCUGUCUCCCUUUGUUUUUUCUUUAUCUGAGCUCCAGUGCUGCAACUCUGCCAGCACCCGCAGAAAGCUACUGUGGUGAAAUAAGCAGCAGGCUGGGGUAGGUUUCAGCGCCCUUGCCUCUUUGUAUUCCUUUUAUUACUAAACAUGGAUUAUACACCUUUUUUAAUGUGAUUGGGGAAGGAAUGCCGCUGUCGUGUUCACCUUGGCUCUAAUUAACUGAACCAAUAGCCUCCAAUAUAUUUGUAAGUUAGUGUUUAAGAACAGUGUCUCUUCUUAAGAGCUUGAAUGGUUUUGAUACAUCAUAUUUUUUUCUCUUUAUAAACAAGAUUUUAAACUCUGCUAGAAAGAUAGAUGACUGAUAAAUCUCAUGCUGCGAUACCGGUCAAAAAGAUGACUUUUCUGAAUUUUUCUGAGGUUUGUUUAAUGCAAUUUGAGUAGUUGUUACCUAUCAAGAACUCACAUUGGGUUUUUAGGAUCUGCACCAUUUUGUAGUUGGCAGGAUAUGACAAGUGGUUUAUCAGAAUAAUGGACCCAUGAUUUUUUUCUAUGAACUUGGUCUCUACUCUUUCUCACAAAUGGUCCUUAUCUCUGAAAGAAUGUGGGUGUCACUCUUCAAUUCUUCUUUUCACAAGACCCUAUUUUUGCUAGUGCUUAAGCAUUGCUGAGGGAAAAAAAACAUUUCAAGAUCAGUGAAACUGUUCAGUUGCAUUGAGGCAUAUGCUUAAGCACUCUGCUGAAUUGACAUCUUUACCCUUUACUAUUGUGGCGAUACGUUCUGAUAUUAUCUCUCUACAAAUAUUACAGUAUGCAUUGUACUGAUCAUAUAUCCCCUAGUAUCAAGUCGCAUUUCUGUUCUUAGUGUGUUCAUACAUCUUGGUGUUGAUUGUUGCUUUGUGUUCUAGACUUAACACAAAGUUCACGGUAAGGCAUAGUACUAUAAUCUUCGUGAUGAAAUGGAAGGAUUUGGAAGCAAUGCAGAUAUUAAAACAGUGACUUUGGGUGGGUUUAUGUAGGUUCUUUGGUUAAUGUUUGUUUCUUUUGUCUGUUUCUUUUUCUUCAUUUCUACACAUUCAUGCAGUAUGUCAUGGUUCUAACAAAGCAGCAGUAAAAAACUCUUGACGCAUGAAAAUUAACUGUUCUUUUCCCUGGUUCAGCCUGAACUAUAUACCAGGCCCUGCUGAAAAUACCAC